rnacentral:rRNA from 1 species
UACAGAGGGUGCGAGCGUUAAUCGGAAUUACUGGGCGUAAAGCGUGCGUAGACGGUUAUUUAAGUCGGGUGUGAAAGCCCCGGGCUCAACCUGGGAAUUGCAUUCGAGACUGAAUAGCUAGGGUACGGUAGAGGGAAGCGGGAAUUUCCGGUGUAGCGGUGAAAAUGCGUAGAUAAUCGGAAGGAACAUCAGUGGCGAAAGCG